GUGAAUCAUCAAAUUUUUGAACGCAAAUUGCACUCUCUGGUAUUCCGGAGAGUAUGCCUGUUUGAGGGUCAGUUUUAAUAUAAAUCGAGGUGUUGCUGUGUUGUGACCGAUCGGAAUUGGGGUAUAGUUGACCUUUUAAAAAGUUUAAGUGACCUAUAAUUGAUAGCUUGUGCAUCUCAGUAGUACUUUAGAUUAUUUUUUUAUGCGUCCGGAGUUGCCUAUUUUUUAUUUGGUAUGACCAUGCUG
rnacentral:misc_RNA from 1 species